UACGGAGGGUGCAAGCGUUAAUCGGAAUUACUGGGCGUAAAGCGUGCGCAGGCGGUUUGUUAAGUCCGUUGUGAAAGCCCCGAGCUCAACUUGGGAAUUGCAGUGGAUACUGGCAGGCUGGAGUACGGUAGAGGAAGGUGGAAUUCCCGGUGUAGCAGUGAAAUGCGUAGAGAUGUGGAGGAAUACCGAUGGCGAAGGCAGCCCCCUGGGAUAACACUGACGCUCAUGCACGAAAGCGUGGGGAGCAAACAGG
rnacentral:rRNA from 1 species